CUGCCCCACCCUCUGAGCUGGCCUUGAUGUGCUUCCUUAUUUGCUCUUCAGGUGUAUGUGGCUGCCAAAAGGGGAGGCUCCCCUGAAGACACACUGACAGGCGCCUUGUGUCCUCUGUACCCUGGCUGCCUAGGGCUGACCUUAUGUGGCCCACCUCAUUGGUCCUGCUGUGCCGACUGGAGCACCAUCAGGAGGGUGCAGGCAGGGCCAGGCCAUGACUGCUCCUUGACCCCAGCCAGGCUCCUGAGGCCUAGAAAGAGCAGAAGCUCCAAGGGGCUCUCAGGGCCCACUGUGGAUUGGCCCUGCCCUCCCUCUCCCUUGGCAAGGUACCAGGAAGCUAGAGCUUUGUUAUCUGGGUAAUUAGCUUCAGACCCUGGACUGAGUCCAGCCAGGUCUUAGGGCUACGUCCCACAAUAGGUGUACCCUGAUCUCAAAAGGGAAGUGAGGUGCUGCCUGUCUAGAGACCCUGCUAUCUGAGCAACCAAGGGGCCAGGCCUGCGUGGGACCAGCUGUGGUAUCCUUACACGCCCUUCCUUCUUGGGCUGUGCCCCUCAGGGCUGCCUGGGCCUGAUCACAGCCUCGCCAGGGGCCAAGGGCACAAGCCUCAGGAAGGGAAUGCCCUCAGAGGUGUCAGUCCAGCCAGCUGCUCUGCCACUCAAGCCUGGUCUGACCCCCAUCCCCUGCACUGUGGUACCCCAAGCAGCCCUGUGGGUAGACACCCCCGACCAUGGCUGAGCACCUGGAACUACUGGCAGAGAUGCCCAUGGUGGGCAAGAUGAGCACCCAGGAGCGGCUGAAGCAUGCCCAGAAGCGGCGUGCCCAGCAGGUGAAGAUCUGGGCCCAGGCUGAGAAGGAGGCCCAGGCCAAAAAAGGCAAGUGGAGGCAGCUGCAGAAGGAGGCAGCUGGCCGAGGGCCCCCGAAGCAAGUUGUCUUCCCUCCCAGCGUUGUCCUUCUGGAAGCUGCUGCCCGAAAUGACCUGGAAGAAGGUGAGUGCACUUGUCCCAGGGUGGUACACAAUGGCACUCCCAUCCAUGUGGGCGUGGCCUCAUCGUGUGUUGGGCUCUGGGCUGGGCCUGUGCCCGUCCAGCACUCUUGGGCUUUAGCCACAGGGCAACCAGGGUCUCUGGUUAGGACAACCCCCACUGAGACAGCUCUUCUUCAGCAGAGGCCUCAUGCAAAAGGUCCUGCUGUGAGGCAGGCCAGUUGAGAGAGUACCAGGCUGCAGGGGGCGCCCAUCAGGGCCUGCAGAAGCAUCCAGUGUGUGGGGCUGAGCAGGCUGACAACUCUCACCGCCUCUUGUAAGGAUGCUAGGCUGUGGGUGAGCGCCCUGGCCUCUGCCAGCUGUUCCCUGAGUCCCACCUCUGCAGAGGAGGGUGCUCAUACUUACCUCCAGUUGCAAGAGUCGGGCAAGCUGACCCGGAGCCCACACGGCUGACCCUCUCGCCGCUGCCGUCAGUGUUCCCUUUGACUCCUUCCUUACCAUUGGAGCCUUCCCAGCCUGAUGCCAGCCUGACCUUUCUGCAAGCCCCUCUUCCUCUCCAUGCCUCGUAUUUGUGACCCUCUGAGUACAAGGCUCUGGAGUCUGGGGAGGAGACCUCUUGAUUUUUCUUAAGGGCUCUUCCUGUGUCUUUUGGGGGCAGAGGUGAGGAGGAGUGGGCAGUGACAGUGCAGGAGCCCUCCUGAGACCUGGAGGCUGAGAGGGGACCUGUGGAGAAGGGUGCCAUGUGUGCCACAGGCCUGACCACAAGGAGCCGUGUCUUACUGCUGCAUGGCCAGAGAGGACCCCAGGGACCUUGGCGAUAGCGUGGUCUGAGAUAGGAUUUCUGAAGGGGAGCAAGGGCAGGGACAGGCACUGGUUGAGGGGCUGGGCUCAACAUCAGGAAGAUCAGAGGAGUGUAAGCCCCUACGCUGGGAGCUGAGGGUGGAAUCACCGGCAAGCGGUCUCACAGGAGGGCCGGUUCUGCGGUCUUAGGGGUUGGGUGUCAUGAUAGGAGAGGGGCUGGUGCUGCUGUGUGUGCGGCCUAUUUGGGGCAGACAGACACCCCAGGCUCCUUGAGUCUGCAUGCUUCCUGCCAUCUACACCAGUCUUCUUCUCCCUUCCCUGAUCCCUGGGCAUCAGCAUCAUGGGCCCAGGUGGCCUUGGGCCAGGGAUGGCGUAGGCCAGUCAAGGCCUCACCCAGACGUCACCACCCCCUUCUUACAGUCCGCCAGCUCCUCAGGAGUGGAGUCAGCCCCGACCUGGCCAAUGAGGAUGGGCUGACAGCACUGCACCAGGUCAGCCUGUGUGCGGGGUGGGCAGGGCAGGGGCUGGCAGGGCUCAGGCCACUCAGGCUGUGUGUUUGCAGUGCUGCAUUGAUGAUUUCCGAGAGAUGGUGCAACAGCUCCUGGAGGCUGGGGCUGACGUCAAUGCCCGUGACAGCGAGUGCUGGACCCCCCUGCAUGCUGCAGCCACCUGUGGCCACCUGCACCUGGUGGAGCUUCUCAUUGCCCGGUAGUGUCCAUUGGGCCUUUAUCAUGGAGGGGCUUUCUCACAGAUGGCAGCUCAUGUGGCUAUUCUGUGAAGCUGGUCAGGUCCUGGCUUCCUGUGUCCUCACCUCUGUCCAUCCUGCUUGAGACCCCUGGGGGAUAGUUUGGGCCCACCUGGUAGGCUGGACCACCAGCUCUGGAUGGAGGGCCUUCUCAUGGUCUCCCCUGAGAAAUGCCAUUCUGGUUAGGGUUGAGGGUAGAACGAAUAAGGGGGUAAGGGGAGCAGAGAGGCCAGGUGGGUCUCGGAGGGUGUGCGUGGGUAUCGGUGAGGACUUUUCUCCAACAGGAAGGAAGGUGGAGUGGGGAGUGGUGGUAAGCCCUGUAACUCCAGCUACUUGGGAGGCUGCGACAGGAGGAUCUCAAGUUCAAGGCCAGCCUGGGCAACUUAGAUCUUAUCUCAAAGAUUAAAAAAAAAUGUUUUGGUGGUAUUGGGGAUUAAACUCAGGAUCUCAGGCUAGGCAGCCAUUCUACCACUAAGCUAUAUCCCCAGCCCUUUAAAGUAAAAAAAGAAAAAAUAAAAAAGUAACAAUUAAUGAAAGGACUGAGGAUGUAGCUCAGCUUUUGCCAAGGGUGGACGUGGCUUUGGGUUCAAUCCCUAGUUACACACACACACACACACAUAAAUAAAUAAAUAAAUAGGACUGGGGAUUUUACUUAGUGUUAAAGCACAUCUGGGCUCAGUCCCCAGUACUGGGGGAUGGGAGGAGGAUGGAGCAGAGGAGGUUAGUGGCUUCCUCAGGUUCAGGAGCCUGUCCUUCCUCCCCCCAUCCUGGGCCUCUCCAGUAGAUCAGAGAUCCUCGUGUGGGUGACUGGCUGUUGCCAUCACACAUAAGUGCCUCCUCUGAGUAGAGCAGUAGCCAUGCAGCAAACAGGCCCCCAGGCUCCCCUUGGAGCUGGUGACAGGCUGCAGGUGGGUUCCAAACCUUAGGCAGCCCCUCUGUGUCCUUUGCUCCCCCCAGCUCCCCUUCCCCCAGGCCUGCUUCCCCUGAUCUGUGGGCUCAAAAUCAGCAACUGCUUGGCUUUCUUGCUUCACUUCUCCCUGGGGUCCCCAGAGUGCUGCGUACCUCCUGCAGGUGUACCCUGUAUUUAUGGGGGACAGACGGGUGCCUUGGGCCUUGAAGCCCAGAUGGGUAGACUGCAGGAUGGCCUGUCUGCCUGAGGAACAAGAUCCAGAGCUGAGGGCCUUCCAGAUGAGCCCAGAGGCUUCCUCUCCCAACAGCAGCUAGAACCUACGAGUCCUCCCCAUGUCUGCUGGCACUUCCUGAAGGCAGUCCGAGGCUCAGGGAGGACUUGCUGAAAGGGGACUGAGCAGCCGGCAGCUCUCAUCCGUCCUCCCUGCAGGGGUGCUGAUCUCCUGGCAGUCAACACUGAUGGGAACAUGCCUUAUGACCUGUGUGAGGAUGAGCAGACACUGGACUGCCUGGAGACUGCCAUGGCCCACAGGGGUGAGUGUGCUGUGCCUGCCUGCUCGGGUGGGCCUGGGCAUUCCGUCUCUGAGCCUGCUGCUCCACAGGCAUCACCCAGGACAGCAUUGAGGAGGCCCGGGCCGUGCCAGAGCUGCUCAUGCUGAAGGACCUCCAGAGCCUUCUGCAUGUUGGGGCUGACCUCAAUGACCCGCUGGACCAUGGAGCCACACUGGUGAGGACUUGGC
rnacentral:lncRNA from 1 species